GAUGAACGCUGGCGGCGUGCCUAAUACAUGCAAGUCGAGCGAACGGACGAGAAGCUUGCUUCUCUGAUGUUAGCGGCGGACGGGUGAGUAACACGUGGAUAACCUACCUAUAAGACUGGGAUAACUUCGGGAAACCGGGGCUAAUACCGGAUGAUAUUUUGAACCGCAUGGUUCAAUAGUGAAAGACGGUUUUGCUGUCACUUAUAGAUGGAUCCGCGCCGCAUUAGCUAGUUGGUAAGGUAACGGCUUACCAAGGCAACGAUGCGUAGCCGACCUGAGAGGGUGAUCGGCCACACUGGAACUGAGACACGGUCCAGACUCCUACGGGAGGCAGCAGUAGGGAAUCUUCCGCAAUGGGCGAAAGCUUGACGGAGCAACGCCGCGUGAGUGAUGAAGGUCUUCGGAUCGUAAAACUCUGUUAUUAGGGAAGAACAAAUGUGUAAGUAACUAUGCACGUCUUGACGGUACCUAAUCAGAAAGCCACGGCUAACUACGUG
rnacentral:rRNA from 1 species